AGCGAACGCUGGCGGCAGGCUUAACACAUGCAAGUCGAGCGGGCAUAGCAAUAUGUCAGCGGCAGACGGGUGAGUAACGCGUGGGAACGUACCUUUUGGUUCGGAACAACACAGGGAAACUUGUGCUAAUACCGGAUACGCCCUUACGGGGAAAGAUUUAUCGCCGAAAGAUCGGCCCGCGUCUGAUUAGCUAGUUGGUGAGGUAAUGGCUCACCAAGGCGACGAUCAGUAGCUGGUCUGAGAGGAUGAUCAGCCACAUUGGGACUGAGACACGGCCCAAACUCCUACGGGAGGCAGCAGUGGGGAAUAUUGGACAAUGGGCGCAAGCCUGAUCCAGCCAUGCCGCGUGAGUGAUGAAGGCCCUAGGGUUGUAAAGCUCUUUUGUGCGGGAAGAUAAUGACGGUACCGCAAGAAUAAGCCCCGGCUAACUUCCUGCCAGCCGCCGCGGUAA
rnacentral:rRNA from 1 species